UCGGAUCGGUGUCGGAGCGGACGCGGAUUAAAAUUGUCGGAUAAUACACGUUUAUGUGUAGCUCUAUAAGAAAUCUUUCGGUAUAUGAUGAACAAAAAAGUGUCAUAAACACAUUUUUUGCAUCAUAAAUCGUGAUUUAUGACGCUCGAGUGAUGAAAACCUUUCGUCAUUAAUCGAACAUCAUAAACCGCGACUAGUGACGUUCCUUAUUUCAGUGUGUCAUU
rnacentral:lncRNA from 1 species